GUGAGGCCCUGUGAAGUAGUGCUGCAGUAACUGACUUCAAGAGCUGCUGUAGCUGUGGCCACUUGACAUUCUCUCUUGAAAACUGGUAUUUUGGUACAAAUUCUGCUGCGGUCUUGCACAAUUUUUGACAGCUUUUGUGGCAAAUGGCUGGUGACGCUGAAGAAAAUCUCCCUGAAGAAACAGAAGUUGAAGAAAAAGCCUAUUCAGCAUGUAGUGUAGAUGAAGAUCACAAAUACUGUUACUGUGACAGAUGGUGGCAAUUUAGGAUUCUUCCUUGAGCAGACUGAUGCCCGUCUUGAGGAUGUGUAACAGGUUUUCAAGGAGAAUGCUGCGGUUCUCACAGCUGUUUGAAGCAUGAUGUUUCACCCCAUUUUUCUCACUGUUCCCUCUUCUGUUUUCAGGUUGCUGCCUGCCCCCUCUGGCUCUGUGGUAUUGCUUGGUGCACUGUCCUUUAUUGUUUUGAGCCAUUGCUUGAAUGCCUCAUUAAAAGCUCUGUGCUUCAGGGAAGGGGAGAGAGGUGCCUUCUCAGGGAUCGGAACUAAGAUUGGCUGGGGAUCAGUAAGAGUUCUUUUCCGUCUCCUCCAGCAUGCAGAGUCAUCAUCCCAGCCCUACUGACUUGUCACUUGUGCUUGGUGCUCUCUGGUGACGUUUCUUGAGCACAGUGAAAACCACAAUAUAAAUCGACUAAUGAGGGUGGAGUAACUUGGGACUAUUGCAAGUGUCCUUGCUCUCCCAGCUCAACAGGAAGCCUUUAAUAAGAGUUUUCCUAAAUAAUGUUGCAUGCGAAAUAGGGAUUUCUGCUUCGUUCUUGUAACAAACAGCCAUUUCAUGAAACAGUGUGGUUUUUUGCCUUUUGGUACAUUCCAGAAGACUUUAUACCUUUGCUGGUUACUGAUUGAUAGUUCUGUGCUGAGCUCCCUGUAAUUUUGCAAUAAACUAACAAGGAGGCUGAGACCACAAGUUUACAGAAAAUUGCUUAUUUACUCAACUGGAUUUACAAGGAUGACAAAGUCAGAUUUAGUAGUUUCAGUGUGGUCUAGGAAGGGCAGGAGGAGUACUUGAAAAAUUGUACUGUAUAAAUAACCAAACAAAAAAUAGUUUGCUUAUUCUUCUGUAUAAAGUUCUUAGGCCAACUCUCUCCCAGGACCUGCAGGGAUUUUCUGCAUAUGCAGAAACUUUGCUAUUCCUAAUAAAUGGGGGUGUUGUGAGUUUAGGCACAAUAAAUAAGUUGGUUUUUUUUUUUUACUUUUCUAAUGUGCUUCCAAAAAACUAGCAUCUGCUGAAAUCACAUCAGUGGAAGGUGACUCUGUUUUCACAACCGCAUAUAAAGAUUUUAACAGGAUUAACACUGUUGUUGACUUUUGGAUUAAAUCUUAGAAGUAGCAAUAAUCUGUCUAGAACCUGAAUGCUGUUUUCCUUGGGAAAUCCUUGUGUCCAUUUUUUUCCAGGUAUUGGCACCUAUAAAAAGUGAGAAAAUGAUCAGAGGAGUAAGUUGUGGGGAGUUUAAAACAUGUCUAAAAUUAGGAAGUUGAAAAAGUAUUCCUACUGUCGUCUUGUGUUUAUCUCUGGGUUUUCUAACUAAGAAGGAUUCUUCUUGCUGUCAUAACACUUCUAAUUGUUAGAUGAGGUUAUUUUACAAUCUGAGGUUGCUAUGCUGAAGUAAAAAUUUGAAGUAA